rnacentral:lncRNA from 1 species
UUUGGAGUAGACGAUGUAGGGAUAUUGUGCAAGUAGAGUACCUCACAUUAUAUUUUCUCACGACGAGUGUUCAAAGGUGUGAAGUUAUUCUCUGCCUUACCUACCCUUUUGAAUGUUGACUUAUCCUUUAUGGGCAAGGUAUAAUUGCUCUUCCUCUGAUGAUGCAAGCUUUCGGUGUUGGGCACAUGCUCAUUGACAUCGUGUGCCUUAUUUUUGGCAUU